GAAAAUCAGCUUGCCAACCUGGAUGGAGGAUAUGAGAAAAUUACAACAACAAUGUCCAAACAAGGAGAGCAAUGGCACAGAGAAAUCGACAUCAUCAUCAACAACAUGAAAACCGAAAUAGGCGAGAUAAAAGUGAAACAUAAAGACAUUCUUCAGAAACAUUUGGAUGAAAUCAAACAGAUACAGUCUCUCAUAAAACAAACUUUACAAGCCAUCAGGAAAAUCGAGAAAUCCACUGAUGUAUCUUUAACCACUGAAUACAGCUCUAAGAUCAGAGAGUUCAGCAAGCUUCCACCCAAAGUAAAGGUUACAUUGCCAACAUUCAUUGCAAAACCAAUAGACCCAGAGAAUCUGUAUAGUUUGUUUGGACAGAUCACCCCGUUAUCUACUGCUACAGAAGAAAAUGUCUCGUCACUAAACCAACACAAAACUUCAGUCAGAGAACUAAUGGAUGAACCCGAGCUUGUUACCACAAUACACACUGGGCAUGAAAAACUACGUAGUGUAACAUGUCUGAAUGAUGACAAGAUAUGGACGAGUGGAAAGACCAAUGAUAUCAAAUGCUUCAACAGUAAAGGUUCACUCCUCCAGACAAUCCAGAAACAAUCAGGUAAAUUCCCUGGUGAUAUAGCUGUAGACAGUGAUGGGGAUCUACUGUAUACUAGUGGGGCAACAAGGACAGUUAAUAAAGUAAAGAAUGGACAGACAGAAGAGUUGAUCAGAUUACAGGGAUGGACGCCUGGUUAUCUGUGUGUCACCUCUACUGGUGAUCUCCUGGUUACCAUGUACAGUGAUGAUUACACUCAGUCCAAAGUUGUCCGUUACUUGGGAACAACAGAGAAACAAACAAUUCAAUUUGAUGAUAAAGGUAAACCUCUGUACUCAGGGAAUGCUAAACUUAAAUGCAUCAGAGAGAACAGAAACCGUGACAUCUGUGUAGCUGACAGUGAGGCUGGUGCAGUAGUGGUGGUUAAUCAGGAUGGGAAACUCAGAUGGAGAUACACCGGUCAUCCCUCAGUUACCAAGAACAAACCAUUUAAAUCCCAGGAUAUCACAACAGACAGUCAGAGUCAUAUCCUGACAGCAGACAGUGACAACCAUUGUAUCCACAUUCUGGACCAGAAUGGACAGUUUCUCGGUUACAUUGAUAACUGUGAUCUGAAGGGUCCUACUGGUUUAUGUGUGGACAUUAAUGACAAUCUGUUUGUGUGUGAGUUCUACAAAGGCAAUGUAAAGAAAAUCAAAUAUCUAAAGUAGACAUCACCAAUUGUAAAAAUGUGAUGUAAAUAAAACAAUAGUGGCUGUUUCUGUGUCUAUUGAAUUUCAAUGUUAGCGUAUACCAUAAAAUAUAUUAAAACU
rnacentral:misc_RNA from 1 species